rnacentral:rRNA from 1 species
UGCAAGUCGAACGAUGAUCCCAGCUUGCUGGGGGAUUAGUGGCGAACGGGUGAGUAACACGUGAGUAACCUGCCCUUGACUCUGGGAUAAGCCUGGGAAACUGGGUCUAAUACCGGAUACGACAUCUGGCGCAUGUCAUGGUGGUGGAAAGCUUUUGUGGUUUUGGAUGGACUCGCGGCCUAUCAGCUUGUUGGUGGGGUAAUGGCCUACCAAGGCGACGACGGGUAGCCGGCCUGAGAGGGUGACCGGCCACACUGGGACUGAGACACGGCCCAGACUCCUACGGGAGGCAGCAGUGGGGAAUAUUGCACAAUGGGCGCAAGCCUGAUGCAGCGACGCCGCGUGAGGGAUGACGGCCUUCGGGUUGUAAACCUCUUUCAGUAGGGAAGAAGCGUAAGUGACGGUACCUGCAGAAGAAGCGCCGGCUAACUACGUGCCAGCAGCCGCGGUAAUACGUAGGGCGCAAGCGUUAUCCGGAAUUAUUGGGCGUAAAGAGCUCGUAGGCGGUUUGUCGCGUCUGCUGUGAAAGACCGGGGCUCAACUCCGGUUCUGCAGUGGGUACGGGCAGACUAGAGUGCAGUAGGGGAGACUGGAAUUCCUGGUGUAGCGGUGAAAUGCGCAGAUAUCAGGAGGAACACCGAUGGCGAAGGCAGGUCUCUGGGCUGUAACUGACGCUGA